UACGUAGGGGGCUAGCGUUGUCCGGAAUCAUUGGGCGUAAAGAGCGUGUAGGCGGCCCGGUAAGUCCGCUGUGAAAGUCGGGGGCUCAACCCUCGAAUGCCGGUGGAUACUGUCGGGCUAGAGUUCGGAAGAGGCGAGUGGAAUUCCCGGUGUAGCGGUGAAAUGCGCAGAUAUCGGGAGGAACACCAAUGGCGAAGGCAGCUCGCUGGGACGUUACUGACGCUGAGACGCGAAAGCGUGGGGAGCAAACAGG
rnacentral:rRNA from 1 species